GACGAACCGUGCGAACGUUGUUCGGAAUCACUGGGCUUAAAGGGCGCGUAGGCGGGUGUGCAAGUCUGCGGUGAAAGCCUCCAGCUCAACUGGAGAAGUGCCGUGGAUACUGCUCAUCUUGAGGAGGGUAGGGGCAUCUGGAACGGUCGGUGGAGCGGUGAAAUGCGUUGAUAUCGACCGGAACUCCGGUGGCGAAGGCGAGGUGCUGGACCCUUUCUGACGCUGAGGCGCGAAAGCCAGGGGAGCAAACGGG
rnacentral:rRNA from 1 species